rnacentral:rRNA from 1 species
ACGAACGCUGGCGGCAGGCCUCACCCCUGCAAGUCGAGCGGACCCUUCGGGGUUAGCGGCGGACGGGUGAGUAACGCGUGGGAAUAUGCCCUUCUCUACGGAAUAGUCCUGGGAAACUGGGGGUGAUACCGUAUACGCCCUUUGGGGGAAAGAUUUAUCGGGGAAGGAUUAGCCCGCGUUGGAUUAGGUAGUUGGUGGGGUAAUGGCCUACCAAGCCGACGAUCCAUAGCUGGUUUGAGAGGAUGAUCAGCCACACUGGGACUGAGACACGGCCCAGACUCCUACGGGAGGCAGCAGUGGGGAAUCUUAGACAAUGGGGGCAACCCUGAUCUAGCCAUGCCGCGUGAGUGAUGAAGGCCUUAGGGUUGUAAAGCUCUUUCAGCUGGGAAGAUAAUGACGGUACCAGCAGAAGAAGCCCCGGCUAACUCCGUG